UACGUAGGGAGCAAGCGUUGUUCGGAUUUACUGGGCGUAAAGGGCGCGUAGGCGGCAUAUUAAGUCAUCUGUGAAAUCUCCGAGCUUAACUCGGAACUGUCAGCUGAUACUGAUGUGCUAGAGUGCGGAAGGGGCAAUCGGAAUUCUUGGUGUAGCGGUGAAAUGCGUAGAUAUCAAGAGGAACACCUGAGGUGAAGACGGGUUGCUGGGCCGACACUGACGCUGAGACGCGAAAGCGUGGGGAGCGAACCGG
rnacentral:rRNA from 1 species